rnacentral:rRNA from 1 species
UUAGAUACCCUAUUAUUCCAAUUAAGAUAGAAGUUAUUGUAGAUUAGAUGUUUGAUCAUUAAAAUUUAAAUAAUUUGGCGGUAUUUUAAAUAGUCAGAGGAAUUUGUUGAGUAAAUGAUAGUCCACGAUAGGCAGAUCCUAGUGAAGUUUUUAUAUAUUGUUGUUUAAAUAUUAAUUUAAGAGAAAGUUAAUAAAGAUUUUAAGGAUUAAAGAAAAAUUCAAAUCAAAAUGUAGAAUUAUUAGGGUGUUAAUGAAUUACAAUUUAAUUAAAUAUUAGAAUUAAGUUUAAAAAUAUUAAUGAAAGAGGAUUUGAUAGUAAGAUGAUAUGAAUUAUAUGAUUUGAAAGAAUUUUAAAAUAUGUACAAAUUGC